rnacentral:lncRNA from 1 species
CAUGGCAGUAGCCUCUGGCACCUGAGACAUCAUCCUGGCUCGGUAUCUUCUUUUACCUCAGUGGUGUCCUUUUCCAACCGGCACCAUUGUGCUCCAGUCAGGUAGAUGUGUUUCCAGGAAGCCAGUCCACUAAGAGGUUGUCUUCUCACACUUACUGCCCACUGAGGCGACACAAAUCACUUCCCCUGUGUGAUACCUGGCAGUGUGGUGAACCGGCUGUGCUCAUGAGUGACAGUUGUUUGGGUCCUGUGAGUUCUACUCAGUACCAUUGAUUAUCAAACCUACGAUAAUGUUAAAGCCACAGCUCGGCUCCGGCUGCUGCGGUGUAAUUAUACUCAGAUCCUUGGAGCCGUCUCAUUCGCAGUGUUUUCAACACUCAUCAGCCUGAUGUAAAUUGCAAAUUGAUUUUUUCCCCAGCCUCUCAUUCUUAAGGACUUAAGGGUUCAAGCUGGUCUACGAUUGAUUGGUCAGAUUGCAAUUUAUUAUUGCUGUCAGUGACAAGACUUUUCAAGGGGAAACUUGGCAGUCUACUGAGUAAAGUGAACUCCUCACCUCUGCUGGGCCAACUUGACAAAGCAAAAAACCAGCAAUUUGGCCCAUAAACAUGUGUGUGUGUCACUGCUUCAGGUAUCACCAGCCUUUAAAAGUUUUUAGAUUAGAUAAGCAGGAUUUGAUUGAAGAGAUUCCACAGCAUAUAUAUCACUAAUUUAAUUCAUAGCUCAAGGCACUUGUGAUUCCUCUCCCAUGCGUCACACUCUCCUUGCAACAUAAUGGACUGACUGGCAAGCUGAACUGCUGCGUCCUUUCCUGGCAGCUAAUUGCUGCCAGCUGCGAAGGGCCGAGGAACAAAGGCCUGUUUGAAAAGGUGAUCUGUUGAUUGAAGAAAGCAUCCACCCUCCUUUUAUUAGGAUGUGCUUCAUGUGAGCCCCGGCAUCUGUGUACAGUGCUGCCUCAUUCUGGCACACAUGUCCCCGGGGCCCAUGCAGCGCAAUGCAACUCUUGUGUUUUGUGAGCAGAGUACCAGAUGAGCUUAAAAAGGGAACGGCCUGGAGAGAGUGUGAGUGAACGCAGGCCAAUUCACUGGAAACUGGGAAGUGUACGUGUAUAUUUUUAAAGUUUUUAUAAAUGUUUGGGAACUGAGAAGUGGAAUACGUUUAUGCACUAAAGGCCAAAAGUUUGGAAGCAAGGCCAUUACAGGCCGAACAGUUGGGAGUAGCUUCAAGUUUUUGUUCACAAUGCUUUUUUUGAAAUCCAGCAAGAGUUUUGUGUAUUUUGGGAUGUAUUUACUCCAUUAUCAGAUGUUGCUUUCAUGGAAAUGCACCAUUUUACUCCAUUUACCUUUAGAUAAACAUUGAUGUUAACAGACCAUUGCUAAAUUUAUGUCAGCAAAAGAUAAUAAGGGAUUAGUUUUAGGGUUGAAAACAUUUCCAAGAGUCACAACUUAAGUGUAAAAGCAAAAGAACAAAUCACAGUUGGAUUAUUCACUUCAAUUUUUGGCUUUUGAGAGUCUGCAUACAAAAAUCCUGGAUUGGAACCUGAUGAACGUGCUAGUAACACAAAUCAACAAAAACUUUCUUACCAUGAUAUUUAUGAUCAAAUGUACGUAAUAUUGACAAUCCAGAAAUAUCAAUACUGAACUUUAUUAUUUUCCCCUUUGUUUCCCUUGCUAUUAACUCUCUUGCUGACCAUGAACUGCUUGUAUGCUCGGGUGCACCAUCCCUGGCUGCACAUUCCCUGACAAGGAUGACAGUUUAUCAUUCUCUUGUUUUCCAGCUGCAGUGGUUUGGAGGAUCAUGGGUCGAAGUCGUGCUAAAGCAGUGCUGCUCCUGCAUAUGCUCUUCCACUUCCUUUUCCCAGAAAGGGCUCAGCCAAAUGAC